rnacentral:rRNA from 1 species
GUAGCUCUACUGCCGAAUUUUGCCAGUCAGACUAAUGACCAGUAAGGCCAAGCAUACGGUAUCUGUGGUAAAUACUUAGUUAGUUAUAGUAAACAACACCAUAGAGACAUAUUAGACAAAUAUAUAUUGGGGACUAUUGGUUGGAACGGCCGGUAUAAAGAAAGGAGGAAUGGGGGGGACGACGUAAAGCCACCAUGGCCCUUAUACCCGGGGCUGCACACGUGCUACAAUGGGCCGGACAAAGCGUUGCCCUGCGUAAGCAGGCGCCAAUCGCAGAAACCGGUCCUCAGUUCGGAUUGUGGCUGCAACCCGCCCACAUGAAGCUGGAAUCGCUAGUAAUCGCGGAUCAGCAGUGCCGGGGUGAAUGGGUUCCUGAGCCUUGUACACACCGCCCGUCAAGCAACCAAAGCGGGGGGCACCAGAAGUAGCUGAACCCGAAAGGGAAGGCGCCGAAGGUGAAACACGUGAUGGGGACUAAGUCGUAACAAGGUACGCCGGGAGGGCGCUCGAGCAAAGGGCG